GAUGAACGCUGGCGGCGUGCCUAAUACAUGCAAGUCGAGCGAACAGACGAGGAGCUUGCUCCUCUGACGUUAGCGGCGGACGGGUGAGUAACACGUGGAUAACCUACCUAUAAGACUGGGAUAACUUCGGGAAACCGGAGCUAAUACCGGAUAAUAUAUUGAACCGCAUGGUUCAAUAGUGAAAGACGGUUUUGCUGUCACUUACAGAUGGAUCCGCGCCGCAUUAGCUAGUUGGUAAGGUAACGGCUUACCAAGGCAACGAUGCGUAGCCGACCUGAGAGGGUGAUCGGCCACACUGGAACUGAGGCACGGUCCAGACUCCUACGGGAGGCAGCAGUAGGGAAUCUUCCGCAAUGGGCGAAAGCCUGACGGAGCAACGCCGCGUGAGUGAUGAAGGUCUUCGGAUCGUAAAACUCUGUUAUUAGGGAAGAACAAAUGUGUAAGUAACUAGGCACGUCUUGACGGUACCUAAUCAGAAAGCCACGGCUAACUACGUG
rnacentral:rRNA from 1 species